rnacentral:sRNA from 1 species
UUCACAUAACAAAAGGGCACUAGCACAAAGCUAAUGCCCCAGUUAGUGGAGGAAAAUAAUAAAGAACUAGAAUUCA